rnacentral:rRNA from 1 species
CCUACGGGAGGCAGCAGUGGGGAAUAUUGCACAAUGGGGGAAACCCUGAUGCAGCGACGCCGCGUGAGUGAAGAAGUAUUUCGGUAUGUAAAGCUCUAUCAGCAGGGAAGAAAGUGACGGUACCUGACUACGAAGCCCCGGCUAACUACGUGCCAGCAGCCGCGGUAAUACGUAGGGGGAAAGCGUUAUCCGGAUUUACUGGGUGUAAAGGGAGCGUAGACGGUGAUGCAAGUCAGAAGUGAAAGCCCGGGGCUCAACUCCGGGACUGCUUUGGAAACUGUGUGACUGGAGUGCAGGAGAGGUAAGCGGAAUGCCUGGUGUAGCGGUGAAAUGCGUAGAUAUAAGGAGGAACACCAGUGGCGAAGGCGGCUGACUGGACUGUAACUGACGUUGAGGCUCGAAAGCGUGGGGAGCAAACAGGAUUAGAUACCCUAGUAGUC